GGGUUACUCAGAUAGGAGUUGGAGAAGUGGAGUCAGAGAGGAGCCCUAUGGAGGCUCCAGGGCCUGUGAUCAGGCUAGGCUGAGGCCAGAGGAAAUGCCAUCCCACCUGCAAGCCUGCUCAACCUCUUCAGACCCAGGAUGGGAGCAUCAAGGAAGAACUACAGCUGCCAGCACCACCCCAGCCCCAACUUCAGUCAUGGCCACUCCUCAGGUCACUGAAGGGACCCCGGUUAUGCGGGGACCCCACUCCCUCCCUCCAGUGUCUCCUCAGGACACAGCUCACCGUGCAGUUUCCUGAAGCUCUUUCUGGGUCAAGAUCUGAUCAGGAUUCCAACAUUAAGAGGAGCCAGCAGAGAGCUGUCUUUGUACCCUGGCUCUGAGGAAGUUUUGUGGGAUAGACCGCGUGUGGCCUGAAAGAGCUCGCAUUUCAGGGAACGCCUGGGCUCGAUGCCUGUUAUCUUGUUCAGUGCCUCUGAUUAUAAAUUAAUAAACUGGAAUCUCACCAACAAUUGGUCUCAUGUGAGUUUGGCAUGUGUGCACCCACUUCUCGGAGGCUGACUGUCUCAAGGAAAAAAAAUUAAACCGUUUCCUGGCCAG
rnacentral:lncRNA from 1 species